rnacentral:rRNA from 1 species
GACGAACGCUGGCGGCGCGCCUAACACAUGCAAGUCGAACGAGCGAGAGAGAGCUUGCUUUCUCGAGCGAGUGGCGAACGGGUGAGUAACGCGUGAGGAACCUGCCUCAAAGAGGGGGACAACAGUUGGAAACGACUGCUAAUACCGCAUAAGCCCACGGCUCGGCAUCGAGCAGAGGGAAAAGGAGUAAUCCGCUUUGAGAUGGCCUCGCGUCCGAUUAGCUAGUUGGUGAGGUAACGGCCCACCAAGGCGACGAUCGGUAGCCGGACUGAGAGGUUGAACGGCCACAUUGGGACUGAGACACGGCCCAGACUCCUACGGGAGGCAGCAGUGGGGAAUAUUGCACAAUGGGGGAAACCCUGAUGCAGCGACGCCGCGUGGAGGAAGAAGGUCUUCGGAUUGUAAACUUCUUUUGUCAGGGACGAGUAGAAGACGGUACCUGACGAAUAAGCCACGGCUAACUACGUGCCAGCAGCCGCGGU